rnacentral:lncRNA from 1 species
GACUGGCUGGUUGCUAGAGGUGCGUGCGGCCACUGCGAACUCGUACUUCUUCCCCUGUACAUGGUGGCAUGCUGGAGAACUUGACAGUCUUGGAUCUCUUUUGCACUGCUGGCGUACCUUGUUUUCUCACGUGAGAUCGGCACCAUCACAGUUCGAAAAUCGACGAAAUUCGAGGUUUUAGCAGGCCGGCGACCAAACAGAGAGGGGACGUCGUGCCACGAAUUCAUUCAUAAAUGGUACUCCUACAGACUGACUGGCUGGUUGCUGAAGGUGCGUGCGGCCACUGCGAACUCGUACUUCUUCCCCUGUACAUGGUGGCAUGCUGGAGAACUUGACAGCCUUGCAAGGGAUCUCUUUUGCACUGCUGGCGUACCUUGUUUUCUCACGUGAGAUCGGCACCAUCACAGUUCAAAAGUCGACGAAAUUCGAGGUUUUAGCCGGCCGGCGACCGAACAGAGAGGGGACGUCGUGCCACGAAUUCAUUCAUAGAUGGUAACUCGCAGGCACGACAAAUCUUUUUUUUUUACUGGGACCUCACAAAGUGUUUAGGUUAGCAUAUAUGCAAGCGAAAGAUUUUUAGCAGA